ACACACUCACCGCACCGCCACCCGCCGCACACCAACAGGCCGCACAAAGCAAGAGCAGGUUCAGAGGAGGACUGGGAGAGUGAGAGUUGCAUAGAGCAUUUGAAAAUGAAAGCUUUGGUGGGGGUGGGAAUACGCGAAGGAGGGAAUCUUGAGUCUGUGUGUGUUCAGAGUGUAAAAGAGGCAGGGUAGGUUAACUUUAGUAAAUAGGGGUAUAAAGGUAAAAAUAAAAAAAAAACAAAAAGGUUAUUUUUGUAUUUAAAAAAAAUCCAAAAAAAUUGUGGGGGUAGGGGAUGGAAUUGGGGAGGUACAGGGAGUAACCCCCUAAAAAGAAUCAAUGAUCCAUAGGCCCCUGCUGCUGGACAUUUCUUUUUGUUGUUGGGCCGUGCAAAAUAAAUUGUCCAUGAUCCGGUUUUCUUUUUUUCUUUGAUGGUGGUUGAAUAUGCGUGCAAAGUAGCACCGCUUCCUCUUUUUCUCCUACCAGCAAAGGCCAUUUAAUUCAUUCAACGGAGUCCAGGCCGUGACAUCAUCACUUGGACGUGAGCUCUUUACUUUUUUUCAUUCCUUUUAAUUGCUGGACAUCACUCCCCUCUUUAAUUGAAGCAGCCUUUUCCAUAAAAUCACCAUAAUGCCC
rnacentral:lncRNA from 1 species